GCCGGAGUGGUGAAAUUGGUAGACACGCCGGAUUCAAAAUCCGGUGCUGGUGACAGCGUGCCGGUUCAAGUCCGGCCUCCGGUACCA
rnacentral:tRNA from 1 species